rnacentral:rRNA from 1 species
UCUGAUGAGUCUGACAUGGUGGCUUGGACCUUGGGGAAGAAAAAUAAAUUUACGACCAAAUCGAUAUAUGAAUAUCUGGAGAGAAAUGUGAUGGUGUGUAACUAUAAAUGGAUUUGGAGAUCCAAGAUACCCCUGAAAAUACAAAUCUUCCUUUGACAGCUUUUUCAGGAUGCAGUCUUGACUAGAGAUGUUAUGAGUAGGAGGAAAUGGUUGGGUAACCCUACUUGCUUUUUUUGUGACAAAAAGGAAACCUCCCAGCAUCUCUUCUUUACAUGUCCAGUAGCUAGAGUUAUAUGGAGGACUGUGGGUUGUGUCCUGGGCACGGUUCUAUGUCCGAAUAAUAUUUGGCAAUUUUUUUCGUGGUGCUAUGUGUUUCUUCCUGAUGGGAAGAGAUUCUACACUUUUGGUUUAGCACCGAUGUGCUGGGCUAUGUGA